GGCUGUUCGCCAUUUAAAGCGGUACGUGAGUUGGGUUCAGAACGUCGUGAGACAGUUCGGUCCCUAUCUGCCGUGGGUGUAGGAAUAUUGACAGGAUCUGUCCCUAGUACGAGAGGACCGGGAUGGACGUAUCUCUGGUGGACCUGUUGUGGCGCCAGCCGCAUAGCAGGGUAGCUAUAUACGGAACGGAUAACCGCUGAAGGCAUCUAAGCGGGAAACCGACCUGAAAACGAGUAUUCCCUGAGAGUCGUGGGAGACCACCACGUUGAUAGGCCGGGUGUGGAAGUGCGGCAACGCAUGGAGCUUACCGGUACUAAUAACUCGAUCGGCUUGAAUCAUUCUCAUU
rnacentral:rRNA from 1 species